CCCUUGUCCUUAGUUGCCAGCACGUAAUGGUGGGAACUCUAAGGAGACUGCCGGUGACAAACCGGAGGAAGGUGGGGAUGACGUCAAGUCAUCAUGGCCCUUACGGCCAGGGCUACACACGUACUACAAUGGUCGGUACAGAGGGUUGCAAUACCGCGAGGUGGAGCCAAUCCCAGAAAGCCGAUCCCAGUCCGGAUCGGAGUCUGCAACUCGACUCCGUGAAGUCGGAAUCGCUAGUAAUCGCGGAUCAGCUAUGCCGCGGUGAAUACGUUCCCGGGCCUU
rnacentral:rRNA from 1 species